UUCACGUGUCACGUGGGUUCGCCGUGAAGAAAUAGCGGAAUAAUUGAGACGCGCACGCUGUAAACAAGCGCAGAUCUGAUGGACAUGGACUUACCGUCUCCGUUUUCCUCUUCAGCUCUGUCUGGGAUUGAAUCCUGAUCAAGGUCUCCAUCUCGCAGACGUUCUGGGACAGCUCUUAUGAUCGUUCUCCGCAGACUCUCGCCACUGAGGUCGCUCGAUUUAUUGAACACCUCUCUACCCCAACUAUUCCAGAGAGCCCCUGUCUGCCUCCUCGCAUCAUUUUACACAAACCUAUAAUGAAGACUUUGAUGACGAAUCCCGCAUUCCAUUGCAACAAACCAACCAUCUUCACCUUACCCUUUAUGUUGGUCAUCUACUAAUUAUUCUCCUACUUCUCCGGUUCUGUCACCUGUUUAUUAUCCUCCUAUAACUUCAUCUAAAUCUGACUCUGAUCGCUCAUCCAUGUGUUCUGCAGCGGCUGAGGCCCACAAGCUCUUUCUUCCCUAUAAACAUGCUUAAGUCUGCCUUA